rnacentral:tmRNA from 12 species
GGGGGUGACCCCGGUUUCGACGUGGGUUACAAAGCAGUGCAGGGGCAUACCGAGGACCAGUCACCUCGUAAAACAACUGGAAAAAGUAUAGUCGCAAACGACGAAACUUACGCUCUAGCCGCUUAAUACCGGCUGGACGCUGCACCGAAGGGCCUUCGGUCGGGCAGGGCAACCUGCAGCAGCGUCAUAAAGAGAGGAUCGUGCCGUACCGGGUUACUUGAUACAGCAUUAAAUCCAAGGUAACUCGCCUUGCCUCAGCCUGCCGGUUGACGGUUGCAAGGUCAAAUCAAAUAACCAGGCUAAGUAUGUAGAACUGUCUGUAGAGGGCUUGCGGACGGGGGUUCGAUUCCCCCCACCUCCACCA